UACGGAGGGGGUUAGCGUUGUUCGGAAUUACUGGGCGUAAAGCGCGCGUAGGCGGAUUAGUCAGUCAGAGGUGAAAUCCCAGGGCUCAACCCUGGAACUGCCUUUGAUACUGCUAGUCUUGAGUUCGAGAGAGGUGAGUGGAAUUCCGAGUGUAGAGGUGAAAUUCGUAGAUAUUCGGAGGAACACCAGUGGCGAAGGCGGCUCACUGGCUCGAUACUGACGCUGAGGUGCGAAAGUGUGGGGAGCAAACAGG
rnacentral:rRNA from 1 species